AAAAAGAAAAAAAAGAAAAAAAAAGAUGAAAGUUACUUCUU
rnacentral:ribozyme from 14 species